CCGGCGACCGGCGCACGGGUGAGUAACACGUAUGCAACCUGGCCGCCACAGGGGGAUAACCCGCGGAAACGCGGCCUAAUACCCCGUGACGCCACCGGAGGGCAUCCUCCGGUGGCCAAAGGAGCGAUCCGGUGGCGGAUGGGCAUGCGGCGCAUUAGCUAGACGGCGGGGUGACGGCCCACCGUGGCGACGAUGCGUAGGGGUUCUGAGAGGAAGGCCCCCCACACUGGGACUGAGGCACGGCCCAGACUCCUACGGGAGGCAGCAG
rnacentral:rRNA from 1 species